GGAAGAUUAUUUCAUGGCAAGACUAGCCCAUAUUAGUAUAGCGAACUUUUAUUAUGUGUAAUUGUAGGAAAUUACUUCAUCCAUGAUAUUUCUGAAUCAAUGAAUUGCUAUAUUCUGUUUAUUGCUUUAAUUAAAUAUUUGAGCAGCAUCUACUAAGCACUGAGUCACUGUACCAAGGUAUACUCAUAAGUGAUUUUCAGUAGUACUUGCCUUUUAAGAAAAGAGCAGAAUAGACAACUGCGUGUUCUGGCCAAAUUUUGUAAUCCCUUGAGAAACUCAAAUAGAAGAAGUUCCUUAUUAAUGUUUUUAAGUUGCCAUUUGAUCUUCAAACACUGAUUUCACGUUUCUUUUUCAGCACACCAAAUGAAAAGCUGUUGGGUCAUUUGGUAAAGGAAAAGUAUGAUACAGAUUUUUAUAUUCUUGAUAAAUAUCCAUUGGCUGUAAGACCUUUCUAUACCAUGCCUGACCCAAGAAAUCCCAAACAGUCCAACUCUUACGAUAUGUUCAUGAGAGGAGAAGAAAUAUUGUCAGGAGCUCAAAGAAUACAUGAUCCUCAACUGCUAACAGAGAGAGCUUUACAUCAUGGAAUUGAUUUGGAGAAAAUUAAGGCUUACAUUGAUUCCUUCCGCUUUGGAGCCCCUCCUCAUGCUGGUGGAGGCAUUGGAUUGGAACGAGUUACUAUGCUGUUUCUGGGAUUGCAUAAUGUUCGUCAGACCUCCAUGUUCCCUCGUGAUCCCAAACGACUCACUCCUUAAAUUCACACUUUGCCACUUAACUCCAGUGUGGAUGACAGAGCGAGACCCUGCCUCAAAAAAAAAAAAAAAAAA
rnacentral:lncRNA from 1 species